GAGAACCCCAGUUUUGUUCCAAUAAGAGGCAGAAACCUCUUGGUCUCAGGAAAGAUAGACUCCAUCCCCCAGCCUUGUGAUGAAUUCUAUUUGGGUUGAGACAGUCACAGUAAAUCCAUCCCCUUUGCCUGAUUUCCACUUUCCCAGCUUCCUUCACCACAAGCAAUGCCAUGAGACACUCUUCUGGUCAAUGAGAUUUGAGAAGCCAGGUGGGAGCUCUGGCUGCUACACCACUGCUUACUUGCCUCUCUGCACAGGGUGCUGGAAUGUGGACAUGAUGCCUGGAGCUGCAGCAGCCUUGUUGGGUCAAUAAGACAUCAAGUAGGAGAAACAAAAGCCAACACUGCUAGUAAUAUUCUAUUUCCUGAUUGUUACAUUUGUAACAUGUAACACACAACAUUUUGUGAGAAUUCAAGGAGCUGUGCAUUUUUCUGUUAGUGUGUUAUACCUCACCAAAACAGUUAGGUAAAAAUCUAACACCCUGAGGAUGGCAGAGCAAACCCCUGAAAACAUGGGUGAACUGGUUAACCAGCCUCAAAUACUGUAACUCGGAGCUUCUGAUUAAGAGAAUCAAAAGCCUUUGUUGCUUAAUUACUAGGUUUUCUAAUACUUGCA
rnacentral:lncRNA from 10 species